GGUUGUAUAGUGUAGUGGUGAGCACAUCGGUUUUUGAGAAGGAUUUGAGCUUGACCGCUGAAUCCCAAAGUACCGAUAACCCAGGUUCGAGCCCUGGUACGACCU
rnacentral:tRNA from 1 species